GCCCGGGUGGCGAAACUGGCAGACGCGUAGGACUUAGAAUCCUAUGAUGGCAACAUCUUGUGGGUUCAACUCCCACCCCGGGCACAA
rnacentral:tRNA from 1 species